rnacentral:rRNA from 1 species
UGAGGAAUAUUGGUCAAUGGGGGCAACCCUGAACCAGCCAAGUCGCGUGAAGGAUGAAGGUCUUAUGGAUUGUAAACUUCUUUUACACGGGAAUAAAGCGGGGGACGUGUCCCUCUUUGCAUGUACCGUGUGAAUAAGGAUCGGCUAACUCCGUGCCAGCAGCCGCGGUAAUACGGAGGAUCCGAGCGUUAUCCGGAUUUAUUGGGCUUAAAGGGUGCGCAGGCGGGAUGUUAAGUCGGCGGUGAAAUUUUGCAGCUCAACUGUAAAAGUGCCUUCGAUACUGGCCUUCUUGAGUGUGGAUGAAGUAGGCGGAAUUUGUGGUGUAGCGGUGAAAUGCUUAGAUAUCACGAGGAACUCCGAUUGCGCAGGCAGCUUACUAAGCCAGAACUGACGCUCAUGCACGAAGG